rnacentral:rRNA from 1 species
GACGAACGCUGGCGGAGGGAGGAACACAUGCAAGUCGAACGGUGAAGCUCCAGCUUGCUGGAGUGGAUCAGUGGCGAACGGGUGAGUAACACGUGAGCAACCUGCCCCUGACUCUGGAAUAAGCGCUGGAAACGGCGUCUAAUACUGGAUACGAGAAGGGUCCGCAUGGGCACUUUCUGGAAAGUUUUUCGGUUGGGGAUGGGCUCGCGGCCUAUCAGCUUGUUGGUGAGGUAAUGGCUCACCAAGGCGACGACGGGUAGCCGGCCUGAGAGGGCGACCGGCCACACUGGGACUGAGACACGGCCCAGACUCCUACGGGAGGCAGCAGUGGGGAAUAUUGCACAAUGGGCGAAAGCCUGAUGCAGCGACGCCGCGUGAGGGAUGACGGCCUUCGGGUUGUAAACCUCUUUCAGCAGGGAAGAAGCGAAAGUGACGGUACCUGCAGAAGAAGCACCGGCUAACUACGUG